UACGUAGGGGGCUAGCGUUGUCCGGAAUCAUUGGGCGUAAAGAGCGUGUAGGCGGUCCGGUAAGUCCGUUGUGAAAGUCAGGGGCUCAACCCUUGAAUGCCGGCGGAUACUGUCGGGCUAGAGUCCGGAAGAGGCGAGUGGAAUUCCCGGUGUAGCGGUGAAAUGCGUAGAGAUCAGGAGGAACACCCGUGGCGAAGGCGGCCCUCUGGCUCGACCCUGACGCUGAGAGGCGAAAGCGUGGGGAGCGAACGGG
rnacentral:rRNA from 1 species